rnacentral:rRNA from 1 species
GACGAACGCUGGCGGCGUGCUUAACACAUGCAAGUCGAACGGGAAGGCCCUGCUUUUGUGGGGUGCUCGAGUGGCGAACGGGUGAGUAACACGUGAGUAACCUGCCCUUGACUUUGGGAUAACUUCAGGAAACUGGGGCUAAUACCGGAUAGGAGCUCCUGCUGCAUGGUGGGGGUUGGAAAGUUUCGGCGGUUGGGGAUGGACUCGCGGCUUAUCAGCUUGGUGGUGGGGUAGUGGCUUACCAAGGCUUUGACGGGUAGCCGGCCUGAGAGGGUGACCGGCCACAUUGGGCCUGGGAUGCGGCCCAGACUCCUCCGGGAGGCAGCAGUGGGGAAUAUUGCACUAUGGGCGGAAGCCUGAUGCAGCAACGCCGCGUGCGGGAUGACGGCCUUCGGGUUGUAAACCGCUUUCGCCUGUGACGAAGCGUGAGUGACGGUAAUGGGUAAAGAAGCACCGGCUAACUACGUG